AACGAACGCUGGCGGCGUGCCUAACACAUGCAAGUCGAGCGGGAAAGUUCCCUUCGGGGAGCAAGUACAGCGGCGAACGGGUGAGUAACACGUAGGUAACCUACCCUGGUGACUGGGAUAACUUGCCGAAAGGCGGGCUAAUACCAGAUAAGACCACGAGGGCUGCGGCCCUUGGGGUAAAAGAUGGCCUCUGCUUGCAUGCUAUCACGCCGGGAUGGGCCUGCGCGCCAUAGCUAGUUGGUGAGGUAACGGCUCACCAAGGCAGAGAUGGCUAGCUGGUCUGAGAGGAUGGCCAGCCACACUGGGACUGAGACACGGCCCAGACUCCUACGGGAGGCAGCAGUGGGGAAUAUUGCGCAAUGGGCGAAAGCCUGACGCAGCGACGCCGCGUGGGUGAUGAAGGCC
rnacentral:rRNA from 1 species